GGAGGACAAGGAAGCGGCCAUUCUUCAGCUGGGCCGGGGACAUAAAUUUGCCCGGUGCUGACAGCUGCUGACCACUCUGCUGACGGGCGGGCAGAUGGGCCGUAAACACCCAUCAACGAGCCAGAAGUGACCGCACACGCCUCGCCCAAAACAAUCCCUCAAGGCCCUGUUCUACCACACAACCAACCUGCUCUCUGCUGCUGCUGCGCAGGUCACGCUACAAGGCUGGCUCUUGGGAGAUGGUUGACCAUACUUCACCCCAUCACCGCUAAAUUUACGGAGCCCAAGACGGAUGCAG